GAUGAACGCUGACAGAAUGCUUAACACAUGCAAGUCAACUUGAACUUCGGUUUGGGUGGCGGACGGGUGAGUAACGCGUAAAGAACUUGCCUCACAGAUAGGGACAACAUUUGGAAACGAAUGCUAAUACCUGAUAUUAUGAUUAUAUGGCAUCGUAUAAUUAUGAAAGCUAUAUGCGCUGUGAGAGAGCUUUGCGUCCCAUUAGCUAGUUGGAGAGGUAACGGCUCACCAAGGCGAUGAUGGGUAGCCGGCCUGAGAGGGUGAUCGGCCACAAGGGGACUGAGACACGGCCCUUACUCCUACGGGAGGCAACAGUGGGGAAUAUUGGACAAUGGACCAAGAGUCUGAUCCAGCAAUUCUGUGUGCACGAUGAAGUUUUUCGGAAUGUAAAGUGCUUUCAGUUGGGAAGAAAAAAAUGACGAUACCAACAGAAGAAGUGACGGCUAAAUACGUG
rnacentral:rRNA from 1 species